UUAUAUGGUCAAGAAGAGAAGCGCAAACGGUGGAUGCCUUGGCAGUAAGAGGCGAAGAAGGACGUGGAAUCCUGCGAAAAGCUAUGGGGAGCUGGAAACGAGCGUUGAGCCAUAGAUGUCCGAAUGGGGGAACCCGGCUGCAGCGAUGCGGUCAUUUGCAUUUGAAUACAUAGGAUGCAAAGGCGAACUCGGGGAACUGAAACAUCUAAGUACCCGAAGGAAAAGAAAUCAAGAGAGAUUCUCCAAGUAGCGGCGAGCGAACGGGGAGGAGCCUGGCGUGAUUUAUUAUUGAACUGAGUAGAACAAUUUGGGAAAGUUGGCCGAAGAGGGUGAAAGCCCCGUAUACGAAGGUUUGAUGAGGAACUAGGCACGCGAACAAGUAGGCCGGGACACGUGAAAUCCUGGUUGAAGAUGGGUGGACCAUCAUCCAAGGCUAAAUACUACUUACUGACCGAUAGUGAACCAGUACCGUGAGGGAAAGGUGAAAAGAACCCCGGAGAGGGGAGUGAAAUAGAAUCUGAAACCGUUUGCGUACAAGCAGUGGGAGCAUGGUUUAGGCUGUGUGACUGCGUACCUUUUGUAUAAUGGGUCAGCGAGUUACUUUCAGUGGCGAGGUUAACUGAAUAAGGGAGCCGUAGAGAAAUCGAGUCUGAAUAGGGCGAUAGUCGCUGGGAGUAGACCCGAAACCGGGCGAUCUAGCCAUGUGCAGGAUGAAGGUUGGGUAACACCAACUGGAGGUCCGAACCGGGUAA
rnacentral:rRNA from 1 species